rnacentral:rRNA from 1 species
ACUCAAAGGAAUUGACGGGGGCCCGCACAAGCGGUGGAGCAUGUGGUUUAAUUCGAAGCAACGCGAAGAACCUUACCAGGUCUUGACAUCCCGCUGACCGGCCUAGAGAUAGGCUUUUCCCUUCGGGGACAGCGGUGACAGGUGGUGCAUGGUUGUCGUCAGCUCGUGUCGUGAGAUGUUGGGUUAAGUCCCGCAACGAGCGCAACCCUUGAUCUUAGUUGCCAGCAUUCAGUUGGGCACUCUAAGGUGACUGCCGGUGAUAAACCGGAGGAAGGUGGGGAUGACGUCAAAUCAUCAUGCCCCUUAUGACCUGGGCUACACACGUGCUACAAUGGACGGUACAGAGGGUCGCAACCCCGCGAGGGUGAGCAAAUCCCAUAAAACCGUUCUCAGUUCGGAUUGUAGGCUGCAACUCGCCUACAUGAAGCCGGAAUCGCUAGUAAUCGUGGAUCAGCAUGCCACGGUGAAUACGUUCCCGGGCCUUGUACACACCGCCCGU